AGAGUUUGAUCCUGGCUCAGAAUCAACGCUGGCGGCGUGCCUAACACAUGCAAGUCGGACGCGAAAGUCUCCGCAAGGGGGCGAGUAGAGUGGCGGACGGGUGAGUAACACGUGGGUGACCUGCCUGGUGGAGGGGGAUAACUUUUCGAAAGGGAAGCUAAUACCGCAUGAGCUCUCGGUAGCGAUAUUGAGAGGAAAGCCGAAAGGCGCCACUGGAGGGGCCCGCGCUCGAUUAGCUAGUUGGUGAGGUAAGGGCUCACCAAGGCGACGAUCGAUAGCCGGUCUGAGAGGACGGACGGCCACACUGGAACUGAGACACGGUCCAGACUCCUACGGGAGGCAGCAGUGGGGAAUUUUGCGCAAUGGGCGAAAGCCUGACGCAGCAACGCCGCGUGGAGGAUGAAGGUUUUCGGAUCGUAAACUCCUGUCCUCAGGGACGAAGAAAGUGACGGUACCUGGGGAGGAAGCCCCGGCUAACUCCGUGCCAGCAGCCGCGGUAAUACGUAGGGUGCGAGCGUUAAUCGGAAUUACUGGGCGUAAAGCGUGCGCGGGCGGUUUUGUAAGACAGAUGUGAAAUCCCCGGGCUUAACCUGGGAACUGCGUUUGUGACUGCAAGACUCGAGUGUGGCAGAGGGGGGUGGAGUUCCACGUGUAGCAGUGAAAUGCGUAGAGAUGUGGAGGAACACCGAUGGCGAAGGCAGCCCCCUGGGUUAACACUAACGCUCAUGCACGAAAGCGUGGGUAGCAAACAGGAUUAGAUACCCUGGUAGUCCACGCCCUAAACGAUGCGGACUAGGUGUUGGAGAAGGAGACUUCUUUAGUACCGCAGCUAACGCGUGAAGUUCGCCGCCUGGGGAGUACGGUCGCAAGAUUAAAACUCAAAGGAAUUGACGGGGACCCGCACAAGCGGUGGAUGAUGUGGAUUAAUUCGAUGCAACGCGAAAAACCUUACCUACCCUUGACAUGCCUGGAACCCUGGUGAGAGCUGGGGGUGCCCGAAAGGGAGCCGGGACACAGGUGCUGCAUGGCUGUCGUCAGCUCGUGUCGUGAGAUGUUGGGUUAAGUCCCGCAACGAGCGCAACCCUUGCCACUAGUUGCCAUCAUUUAGUUGGGCACUCUAGUGGGACUGCCGGUGACAAACCGGAGGAAGGUGGGGAUGACGUCAAGUCCUCAUGGCCCUUAUGGGUAGGGCUUCACACGUCAUACAAUGGUCGGUACAGAGGGCUGCCAACCCGCGAGGGGGAGCCAAUCCCAGAAAGCCGAUCGUAGUCCGGAUUGGAGUCUGCAACUCGACUCCAUGAAGUCGGAAUCGCUAGUAAUCGUGGAUCAGCAUGUCACGGUGAAUACGUUCCCGGAUCUUGUACACACCGCCCGUCACACCAUGGGAGUGGGUUUCACCAGAAGUAGGUAGCCUAACCGCAAGGGGGGCGCUUACCACGGUGGGAUUCAUGACUGGGGUGAAGUCGUAACAAGGUAUCC
rnacentral:rRNA from 1 species